rnacentral:misc_RNA from 1 species
GAAUUAGGCGGAGCCGCCAUUUUGUACAAGAUAUAGCAGAACUCCCUGUUCUGUGGUAAAUUUUUUAUUUUAUGUAAUUUAUCGAAUAUGAAAUGAGUUCGAACGAAACUCAAAAGGAGAACGACGGAUAUAUAGCUCCAACAGGAAGCGCACAGGUAAGCUGAUUUGGUUUUAUUUUCAAAAACGCCGCCAUUUUGAAGAAUCGCCUCCCAUAUCGAUGUAACCCCGCCCUAUCUCCUCCCGGACGUGCCCACGGUCAAGGACAUGGCAUAAUUUAAAUUACGUAACAGAAACUUGGUUGAAACUGGAAAGAGAAUUUGCGUAAAUCACCUUUAUUUUUCAGGAUACAGCACAGCCAUCGCCUCUGGCAAUGUUGGCUGCAACAUGCAGCAAAAUAGGUGGCAACGGAAAUAGUGAAGAUGGACAACAGCAGCAGUACGGCUAUAUACAAACGGCUCAAGGAAAUUUGAUGGCUGUAGCAUUCGACUCUUCAGGAAAAAUUCAGCAAACACUUCCUCCACAAGCUAUAAACCAGACCGUUUUACAAACUGGACAGCAGGUGCAGCAACUUAACGGAAUUCAAGUUAUUAACCAGCCCCAACAACCUGUAGUAAAUAUGCUUCAGGUAAACGAUAACAACAAUAUUUCGAGGAACAGCAAGCCCUUCCAGAAUAUUAUGAAUGUUCCAGCUGAAGACACUUCUCAGCAGUAUGUCAUACAAAAUAAUCAGGUAAUUCCUGUGCUGGUACGCAAUAAUUCACCUCAAAUCAUCCAAAAUACUGUGAGUCCCAACCAAGUUCUGUUAGCUCAAAAUGGACAAAUGGUAGUUCAAAGAUCUGUUUUUCCUCAACAAACACUACCUACGACACUUUCAGCUGUCGUACAAAUCCCUGUUACAAAUGCCAAUGGUCAAACAGUUUUUCAAACUGUUCAUGUACCUGUUCAAAUGGCCCAACAAGCAGUGCAAGUUCCAGCUGUUCAGCAAUUUGUCACAGCAGCUCCUAGUAUGCAAGGUAUAAUUGUUCAAAAUGGUAUGCAAAGUCCUCAACAACAGAUUACAGUUUUAAAUCAAGCUCAAACUGAGAUGAUAAAGACUGAAGAGACAUCAAAGAAUGAGGUUAAAGCACCAACAGAAAUCCAACCCAACAAUGCCAUAACUGGUUCAACAACACCAACGACCAUUAUGCAAUUACCAAAAUCUUCUGCAUCCAACAUUUCAAACAACGUUAUACAGUUGCAAUAUGCCAAUAACGAUAGUUUUCAACUUGUGAAUGGCACAAAUGGUACUGCGUCUGCUGUCAUUGCUCAAGUCCAGAUGGACCCAAAUGAUCAUACGAAAGUUUCAGUUGUUCCUGCAGAAAGUAUUCUUCAAUCAACAGGAGAGCAAAAAAGACCGAAGAGGAUAGCAUGCACUUGUCCUAAUUGCAAAGGAACUGACAGCAAAAAUAAAAAUCUUAAGAAAAAGGAACAUAUCUGUCAUAUGCCAGGAUGCAAUAAGGUCUAUGGUAAAACGUCCCAUUUACGAGCUCACUUGCGAUGGCACAAUGAUGAUAGACCAUUUGAAUGCGAUUGGGCCUAUUGUCAGAAAAAAUUUACCCGUUCUGACGAGCUACAAAGACACAAAAGGACUCAUACUGGGGAAAAAAAGUUUCAGUGUAACGUCUGCCAAAAGAAGUUUACGAGAAGUGAUCACUUGGCAAAACAUUCGAAGACACAUGCUGAGAAAAAUACUGAGACACAAGACAAUACAUGGUAAUUUUUUUAUAAAUUAAAGGCUUUCUUCGUAAUUUUUUUUAUCCACAGAAUUCAAUUCUACCUCUUAUCGAGUUGCCUAACUCAAGUGUUAUGAUCUAGUCUGUUAAUUUUAUUCUAUGGUGUCUGGUCACGUAUCAGUGAUUUUGAAUAAAAUAUUGAUAUAUAUCCAU